rnacentral:rRNA from 1 species
CUAUACAUGCAGUCGAGCGGACCGACGGGAGCUUGCUCCCUUAGGUCAGCGGCGGACGGGUGAGUAACACGUGGGUAACCUGCCUGUAAGACUGGGAUAACUCCGGGAAACCGGGGCUAAUACCGGAUGCUUGAUUGAACCGCAUGGUUCAAUCAUAAAAGGUGGCUUUUAGCUACCACUUGCAGAUGGACCCGCGGCGCAUUAGCUAGUUGGUGAGGUAACGGCUCACCAAGGCGACGAUGCGUAGCCGACCUGAGAGGGUGAUCGGCCACACUGGGACUGAGACACGGCCCAGACUCCUACGGGAGGCAGCAGUAGGGAAUCUUCCGCAAUGGACGAAAGUCUGACGGAGCAACGCCGCGUGAGUGAUGAAGGUUUUCGGAUCGUAAAACUCUGUUGUUAGGGAAGAACAAGUACCGUUCGAAUAGGGCGGCACCUUGACGGUACCUAACCAGAAAGCCACGGCUAACUACGUGCCAGCAGCCGCGGUAAUACGUAGGUGGCAAGCGUUGUCCGGAAUUAUUGGGCGUAAAGCGCGCGCAGGCGGUUUCUUAAGUCUGAUGUGAAAGCCCCCGGCUCAACCGGGGAGGGUCAUUGGAAACUGGGGAACUUGAGUGCAGAAGAGGAGAGUGGAAUUCCACGUGUAGCGGUGAAAUGCGUAGAGAUGUGGAGGAACACCAGUGGCGAAGGCGACUCUCUGGUCUGUAACUGACGCUGAGGCGCGAAAGCGUGGGGAGCGAACAGGAUUAGAUACCCUGGUAGUCCACGCCGUAAACGAUGAGUGCUAAGUGUUAGAGGGUUUCCGCCCUUUAGUGCUGCAGCAAACGCAUUAAGCACUCCGCCUGGGGAGUACGGUCGCAAGACUGAAACUCAAAGGAAUUGACGGGGGCCCGCACAAGCGGUGGAGCAUGUGGUUUAAUUCGAAGCAACGCGAAGAACCUUACCAGGUCUUGACAUCCUCUGACAACCCUAGAGAUAGGGCUUCCCCUUCGGGGGCAAAAUGACAGGUGGUGCAUGGUUGUCGUCAGCUCGUGUCGGGAGAUGUUGGGUUAAGUCCCGCAACGAGCGCAACCCUUGAUCUUAGUUGCCAGCAUUCAGUUGGGCACUCUAAGGUGACUGCCGGUGACAACCGGAGGAAGGUGGGGAUGACGUCAAUCAUCAUGCCCCUU